rnacentral:rRNA from 1 species
CUCCAACGAGCGCAACCCUGACGCAGCCAUGCCGCGUGAAUGAAGAAGGCCUUCGGGUUGUAAAGUUCUUUCGGUAGCGAGGAAGGUGGUUAGUUUAAUAGGCUAGCCAAUUGACGUUAACUACAGAAGAAGCACCGGCUAACUCCGUGCCAGCAGCCGCGGUAAUACGGAGGGUGCGAGCGUUAAUCGGAAUAACUGGGCGUAAAGGGCACGCAGGCGGACUUUUAAGUGAGGUGUGAAAGCCCCGGGCUUAACCUGGGAAUUGCAUUUCAGACUGGGAGUCUAGAGUACUUUAGGGAGGGGUAGAAUUCCACGUGUAGCGGUGAAAUGCGUAGAGAUGUGGAGGAAUACCGAAGGCGAAGGCAGCCCCUUGGGAAUGUACUGA